GUGUCAGCAGCCGCGGUAAGACGAACCGUGCAAACGUUGUUCGGAAUCACUGGGCUUAAAGGGCGCGUAGGCGGGUUCCCAAGUCGGUGGUGAAAUCUUUCAGCUCAACUGGAAAAGUGCCGCCGAUACUGGGAGUCUUGAGGGAGGUAGGGGUCGAUGGAACUGGUGGUGGAGCGGUGAAAUGCGUAGAUAUCACUAGGAACGCCGGUGGCGAAAGCGAUCGACUGGACCUCUUCUGACGCUGAGGCGCGAAAGCCAGGGGAGCAAACGGGAUUAGAAACCCCCGUAGUCC
rnacentral:rRNA from 1 species